ensembl:lncRNA
CGCUCUUCCUGUUUACCGGCAUUCAACAGAGGUCUGUGGUUAAAACACAGCCGUUUGGGCAUUUUAACACCGCUUGUGUCAUUUUGUGGGGCUUUGCGUACACUGGAGAGUCUAUUGUAAACAACCGUUACGUGCGGUCUGGCUCGUUACACUGCCUAGUCCCAGCAUUCCCGUGUGUUUACCGUUUGAGUGGGGACAUCCAAUAUAUGCUGUUUGGCAUCUACUUCAUUUCUAUCCCGUGGAUACUGACGUCAGCUCUGCUUUCUGGUGUGGCAAACGGCUGCGUUAUUUGGAGCUGUGUGUCCGACGGCAGUGAGGCUUUCCUUCACCGUGUGCUGUGUUAUGCUGUGUGAGCACCACUGAUAAAAUCACGGGAGCUGUGUGUCCGACGGCAGUGAGGCUUUCCUUCACCGUGUGCUGUGUUAUGCUGUGUGAGCACCACUGAUAAAAUCACGGGUAUUGGAGUGAGUGUGUGUGUGUGUGUGUGCACUUAGUGUGAUUCUCCUCUUUUGCUCCCUCUCUUAGCCCAUUUGAUGCCAAUAGGCUACAGCUCCGAAGUAAAUGUGAAUCCUUAUUGUGGAUUGUGAUUUCCAGCUUAGUAAUUGGCUGGGUGACUAUUAUUCCUGCAUUUUAAACUUUUGUACUAAUAAACAAACUCUAUUUUGCUACCCACGUCUCUUGCUCAUUUUAUUCAGUGGAAUGAACCUGGGUUCCUUAUAACAUUUUAAGUGAACUGUGAU